AGGGUUAGAGUUUGUGAGGUAAAAUUCCCGGUUGUCAUCUGGGCGUAAUGGGUUCGACUCCCAUUGACCCCG
rnacentral:tRNA from 1 species